AAGGAAUAUUGGACAAUGGGCGGAAGCCUGAUCCAGCCAUGCCGCGUGAAGGAAGAAGGCGCUCAGCGUUGUAAACUUCUUUUAAAUGGGAACAAUAACUCCGACGCGCUCGGGGCUUGAGGGUACCAUUAGAAUAAGCACCGGCUAACUCCGUGCCAGCAGCCGCGGUAAUACGGAGGGUGCAAGCGUUAUCCGGAAUCACUGGGUUUAAAGGGUGCGUAGGCUGUUUGAUAAGUCAGUUGUGAAAUACCCCGGCUUAACCGGCGGUCGUGCGAUUGAUACUGUCAGACUUGAAUCAGGUUGAGGUAGGCGGAAUGUGGCAUGUAGCGGUGAAAUGCAUAGAUAUGCCAUAGAACACCGAUUGCGAAGGCAGCUUGCUGGACCGAGAGUGACGCUGAGGCACGAAAGCGUGGGGAGCAAAC
rnacentral:rRNA from 1 species